GUGCUCACUUCAGCAGCACAUAUACUAAAAUCGGAACGCUACAAAGAUUAUCAUGGCCCCUGCGCAAGGAUGACUCAUAAAUUCAAGAAGCAGUCCAUAGUUUU
ensembl:snRNA U6 U6 spliceosomal RNA